rnacentral:misc_RNA from 1 species
AUGGCAGGCACUGGUUGCAUAUGUAAACAUCGCAUGUUAUUACAUAUUUGGAAUUCCUAUGGGCCUUAUCUUGGGUUAUAUGCUUAACAUGGGUGUGAGGGGCAUUUGGUAUGGAAUGCUCAUGGGCACCGUGGUACAAACAAUUAUCCUGGUUUGGUUGACAUCCCGAACAAACUGGAAUAAAGAGGCAUCAAUUGCUGGGGAAAGGAUUAGAAAAUGGGGAGGAGAAAAUGCUAAGCCUGAUGGAGUAGGGGAAUAAGCUGAUGGUGGAAAG